UACGGAGGAUACAAGCGUUAUCCGGCAUCAUUGGGUUUAAAGGGUCCGUAGGCGGGUCAAUCAGUCAGUGGUGAGAGUCUGCAGCUUAACUGUAGAAUUGCCAUUGAUACUGUUGACCUUGAGUAAUUAUGAAGUGGGUAGAAUAUGUAGUGUAGCGGUGAAAUGCAUAGAUAUUACAUAGAAUACCGAUUGCGAAGGCAGAUCACUAAUAAUUUACUGACGCUGAGGGACGAAAGCGUAGGCAGCGAACGGG
rnacentral:misc_RNA from 1 species